GACGAAUGCUGGCGGCGUGCUUAACACAUGCAAGUCGAACGAAGUGGCGAACGGGUGAGUAACGCGUAAUCAACCUGCCCUUCAGAGGGGGACAACAGUUGGAAACGACGGCUAAUACCGCAUACUGAGGGAGGAGAUUGCGGUAGAUGAGCUAGUGGGAGGGGUAACGGCCCACCAAGGCGAUGAUCAGUAGCCUGUCUGAGAGGCUGAACUGCCACAUUGGGACUGCGACACGGCCCAGACGCCUACGGGAUGCAGAAGGGGGGAAUCUGCCGAAAUGGACGAAAGUCGGACGGCGCAACGCCGCGUGAGUGAUGACGGCCUUCGGGUUGUAAAGCUCUGUUAAUCGGGACGCGGUACCGGAAUAGAAAGCCACGGCUAACUACGUGCCAGCCGCCGCGGUAAUAC
rnacentral:rRNA from 1 species